rnacentral:rRNA from 1 species
UAGGGAAUCUUCCACAAUGGACGAAAGUCUGAUGGAGCAACGCCGCGUGAGUGAAGAAGGUUUUCGGAUCGUAAAGCUCUGUUGUUGGUGAAGAAGGNUAGAGGCAGUAACUGGUCUUUAUUUGACGGUAAUCAACCAGAAAGUCACGGCUAACUACGUGCCAG